rnacentral:rRNA from 1 species
GACGAACGCUGGCGGCGUGCUUAACACAUGCAAGUCGAACGGAAAGGCCCUGCUUGCCGGGUACUCGAGUGGCGAACGGGUGAGUAACACGUGGGUGAUCUGCCCUCCACUUCGGGAUAAGCCUGGGAAACUGGGUCUAAUACCGGAUAGGAGCCAUUUUUAGUGUGAUGGUUGGAAAGUUUUUUCGGUGUAGGGUGAGCUCGCGGCCUAUCAGCUUGUUGGUGGGGUAAUGGCUUACCAAGGCGGCGACGGGUAGCCGGCCUGAGAGGGUGGACGGCCACAUUGGGACUGAGAGGCGGCCCAGACUCCUACGGGAGGCAGAAGUGGGGAAUAUUGCACGAUGGGCGCAAGCCUGAUGCAGCGACGCCGCGGGGGGGAUGACGGCCUUCGGGUUGUAAACUACUUGCGCUAGGGACGAAGCUUUUUGUGACGGUACCUAGACAAGAAGCCCCGGCUAACUACGUG